UAUGUCAGAAAUGGACACAAGUGUCCCAUAUGUGGACAUGUAUAUGCUGACUUCAUCUACAGUUCACAGGAUCAGAGUUUCCAGACCUCCGGAGUUUACAGCGCCACUGAGACCUCCACCAAUCAGGAUGAGCAGGAAGGAGGCGUGGCUGACUCUCCCACGAGAUCAGACUUGAACUUCA